rnacentral:rRNA from 1 species
AACGAACGCUGGCGGCAGGCCUAACACAUGCAAGUCGAACGCCGUAGCAAUACGGAGUGGCAGACGGGUGAGUAACGCGUGGGAACAUGCCCUUCGGUUCGGAAUAACUCAGGGAAACUUGAGCUAAUACCGAAUACGUCCAAGGAAACUUGGAGAAAGAUUUAUCGCCGGAGGAUUGGCCCGCGUCUGAUUAGCUUGUUGGUGGGGUAAUGGCUCACCAAGGCGACGAUCAGUAGCUGGUCUGAGAGGAUGAUCAGCCACAUUGGGACUGAGACACGGCGCAAACUCCUACGGGAGGCAGCAGUGGGGAAUAUUGGACAAUGGGCGCAAGCCUGAUCCAGCCAUGCCGCGUGAGUGAUGAAGGCCCUAGGGUUGUAAAGCUCUUUUGCCCGGGAAGAUAAUGACGGUACCGGGAGAAUAAGCCCCGGCUAACUUCGUGCCAGCCGCCGCGGUAAAAC